rnacentral:rRNA from 1 species
AAACUUUCAACAACGGAUCUCUUGGUUCUCGCAUCGAUGAAGAACGCAGCGAAAUGCGAUAAGUAGUGUGAAUUGCAGAAUUCAGUGAAUCAUCAAAUCUUUGAACGCACAUUGCGCCUCCUGGUAUUCCGGGAGGCAUGCCUGUUCGAGCGUCAUUA